rnacentral:lncRNA from 1 species
GCACAGAUCCUGGUUAAAUAAUGUCAGCUCCACCGCCUGUCCCCCGACUUGCUGUCGCUAACACGUGCUGAUGCCAGCUCCAGUUACAGUACAAAGGCCCUGCAGGUCUGCCCUGGAAGAAGGGAAAAAGGGCAACCUGGCGUGUCUUGAAUGUGUAGCAAAAAGCAGGCUUAAGAGCUGGAAGCAGAUGACCAGAAGCUUCACGGCCAUUCGUUCAAUCAUCAGCAAACUGCAGAGUCCCUACCAGGUACCAGCACUGAUGCCCAAGACACAGUCCCUCCCUCACAGAGCUGAACAGAGUGGGGGAGAUGGACGCUUGACACAUUGAGAAAUAAUAAGAUGUUUCCAGCCAAGAAAACAAGAUGAAAUCACAGGUGAGAGAGUGACAAAGGGGGGGUGGGCAUAUGUCGCACAGGGCAUGCCAGGAAACCGUUCCAAGCAGGUGACACGUGAGAGGGGACCUGAAUGAGAAGGAGCAGCCAAAUGAACCAUGCAGAGAAGAGUAUCCAGAAGACAGGAACAGCCAGUGCAAAGGCUCAGAGUCUACCUCAUCUGAAGUCUAAAGCAUUCGCCAAUAAGAAUUGUUCUCAUCCACUCGGGAUGCUUCUUGGCUUCGUGAGGACGAAGGUGCAGCCUCUCACUGCAAGCCGGAGGCUUCCUUUCACGUCGCCUGGGUCCGUGUUUCCCAAACGUCGGCAUUCACACCCCAGCCCCGUGCUGCAGACCUCACCUCACUGGCCCGUGAGUAGCUCUGUCUCCCGCUUGACACUGGCCGGCUUGCAGACGCUCACCUCAUCCUUGGGAUUAAGAGUCAUGACGUUGUUGCUAGUUCUCUUAUUUCUGAUAAAUAGCUAUUAAAAUUAAAAACGUGCAUCUGCGAACCACCUGAAAUCCAGCCACGGUUGACCCUUUGGGAAACGCUGCUCCAGUCCUGCCUGAGUUCACACACAGCUGAAGCCCAGAGAUUCGUGCAAACCCGCAGGAUCAGUGAGCCUGGCACGUGGCCACCUUCCCUUCUGUCCUCUGCGCUGGUUCACUCCAGCUGACGUUCAGAGGGCGGCCUCAGGUCUCAGAGACUCAAGGCUCAGGGCUCCCGGGUUUCUCUCUGUCUGCCUCUCCCCGGCCCUCCCCUCUCUCUCCCUCCCUCUGUCUCUCCUCCCCUACUUCCCUCCUCCUCUCCCCUCUCCUUGACUCUGAAAUACCAAGCAGGUUCUCCAGCCUCAGCCCUGCCUAACUCACUGAUGCUAAGCCACUCUCUCCAGGUGAAAAAAAUCACUAAUUUCCUCCUCUUCUCUGUAAAGGGGCAGGAAGACCCUCAUU